rnacentral:rRNA from 1 species
AAGACCUUGCGCUUUUGGAGCGGCCGAUGUCUGAUUAGCUUGUUGGUAAGGUAAAAGCUUACCAAGGCUUCGAUCAGUAGCUGGUCUGAGAGGACGGCCAGCCACACUGGGACUGAGGCACGGCCCAGACUCCUACGGGAGGCAGCAGUGGGGAAUUUUGGACAAUGGGGGCAACCCUGAUCCAGCCAUGCCGCGUGAGUGAAGAAGGCCUUCGGGUUGUAAAGCUCUUUCAGCCGGAACGAAACGGUUACGGUUAAUACCCGUGACUACUGACGGUACCGGAAGAAGAAGCACCGGCUAACUACGUGCCAGCAGCCGCGGUAAUACGUAGGGUGCAAGCGUUAAUCGGAAUUACUGGGCGUAAAGCGUGCGCAGGUGGUUUUGUAAGUCAGAUGUGAAAUCCCCGGGCUUAACCUGGGAACU